CCGUGGCCCUGUCGAAGCUGCAUCUGUCUCUUGUGUGGCUGAUGUGGUCAAAAAGGUGCCAAAAGUAACUCUUCCUUGACGGUCGCUGUUCAGUUGGUCUCUAUGUAACUGUCCAGCAACAUUUUUAGGAAGGUACAAGU